UCAACAUUGUUCUUCGUCAAUUUCAGGAGGACAAGCCACAGUAAAGGUUUCAAGCAGUAGAGAUAGUCAUCAAGAGAUCAACUACUGUAAAGCGGAAAGCCUGCAAGGAAAACCAGAAAAUUCAGUUAAUGGAUUGUA